UCCGUGUUAACCACGGCAGUCUCUUUAGAGUGCCCAACUUAAUGCUGGCAACUAAAGACAAGGGUUGCGCUCGUUGCGGGACUUAACCCAACAUGUCACCACACGAGCUGACGACAGCCAUGCAGCACCUGUCACCCGGCAGUGUUGCCACUGAAACUGCGUUUCCGCAGCGGUCCGGGGAUGUCAAACCCAGGUAAGGUAUUGCGCGUUGCUUCGAAUUAAACCACAUGAUCCACCGCUUGUGCGGGCCCCCGUCAAUUCCUUUGAGUUUUAGUCUUGCGACCGUACUUCCCAGGCGGGGUACUUAUUGCGUUAGCUCCGGCUCGGCAGGGGUCAAGACCCACCAAGCCUAGUACCCAUCGUUUACGGCGUGGACUAC
rnacentral:misc_RNA from 1 species